UACGAAGGGGGCUAGCGUUGCUCGGAAUCAUUGGGCGUAAAGGGUGCGUAGGCGGCUCGUCAAGUCGGGUGUGAAAUCUCGGAGCUUAACUCCGAAACUGCAUUCGAUACUGCCGUGCUUGAGGACUGGAGAGGAGACUGGAAUUUACGGUGUAGCGGUGAAAUGCGUAGAUAUCGUAAGGAAGACCAGUGGCGAAGGCGGGUCUCUGGACAGUUACUGACGCUGAGGCGCGAAAGCGAGGGGAGCAAACAGG
rnacentral:rRNA from 1 species